rnacentral:lncRNA from 1 species
GGUGUGCUUGCAGGCUUUGAAGAACAAGCUGCCAUGAAUCCUGCAGCUACAAGGAAAUGAACUCUAUUAACUUGAGUGAGCUUAAAACUAGAUCCUUCCCCAGUCAAGCCUCCAGGUGAGAAUUCAAUCCUGGCUGGCACCUGGAUUGCAGCUUACAGAAGACCCAGCUAAGGCCAUGUCUGGACUUUAAAUCCACAGGAACUGCAAGAUAUUCUUCAUUAUUCCAUCAUCAUCUCAAACCUCUUGGGUAUAGUGUUUGACUACUACUGUGACCAUAAAUUCCAAUAAAACCUAGGAAAAAUGAAACCACUACAUUAACUGAAAGGAUGAAAGAAGCUUUCGUAUUUAUGUGCUGCAUGUAUUAUUCAGAAGGAAGAUGAUUCCAAGUCAUGUUAUUUCCAAGGAAGCAACAAUAACUUCACUGGACCCCUGCUGAUCUUAAAGUGCAGCAUGAAAAACAGUCUUGGAGACUUCUAGAGAUGUCCAAAAACUAUGCCUGACAAAGGAGAGGCUCUGCUGAAUAUGGAAGGGUGUAAACAGUAGAACGAACCUGGACCAUUGAACCCCUGAAUUAUCCAACCAUCUUACUUCUGGACUUCUUAUUUUGUGACUAAAAAUUCCUUUUGAAAUGAGAGUUAUUUGUGAUUGAGAUCUGGUUUACUUAAGAGCCAAAAAACAGAUGUAUUUGCAUUUUGCCAUCAUUGGAAAUAUGCCCUUACCCAGAAUUCAUUCCAAAGUAAAGUCAGAGGUAAAAGCUUUUGUUCGUUGUUUUUCUUCUGAGCUAUCAGAGUACUUACCAUAAAAAUCUCAAACUAAAUGAUGUAGUGCCAUGUCUAUUAGUAAUCAUGUGCCUGUCUUUUGCUUCCCUCCCUCUGAGUGUAGCAUAAGGAAAAUAGAAGUUCUCGGUGAUGCUGGCAGAGUGAAUAGAUUACAUCCAUGUUAUUAUGAGAGUCUGAAUCUGAACAUUGAAUCUGACCCUUCUGAGAGGACACUACACCACUAGAGGGAAUCAAACAGAAGAUACAAAAUUUCUGCUCUCAGUUCUUCAUUGCUGCUUCCGGUGAGCUUCAACUGUGGUGAAGAAAGAAACCCACAUACCUAACAACAACAUAAGAGAGAAAGAAAAAAAUACAUUUAGCAAAGGUACAAGCAACAUGUUACAUGAUCACUGAGGAAG